UUUAUUGGGUUUAAAGGGUGCGUAGGUGGUCUAAUAAGUCAGUGGUGAAAUCUCUUUGCUUAACAAGGAAAUUGCCAUUGAAACUGUUAGACUUGAGAAUGGACGAGGUAGGCGGAAUUCGUAGUGUAGCGGUGAAAUGCAUAGAUAUUACGAAGAACUCCAAUAGUGUAGGCUGCUUACCAGACCAUAUCUGACACUAAGGCACGAAAGUGUGGGUAUCAAACAGGAUUAGAUACCCUGGUAGUCCACACAGUAAACGAUGAAUACUAACUGUUUGCGAUAUACAGCAAGUGGUCGAGCGAAAGCGUUAAGUAUUCCACCUGGGAAGUAUGCCGGCAACGGUGAAACUCAAAGGAAUUGACGGGGGCCCGCACAAGCGGAGGAACAUGUGGUUUAAUUCGAUAAUACGCGAGGAACCUUACCCGGGCUCGAACGAUAUUUGAAUACAUCCGAAAAGAUGUAGCUAGCAAUAGCAAAUACCGAGGUGCUGCAUGGUUGUCGUCAGCUCGUGCCGUGAGGUGUCGACUUAAGUGUCAUAACGAGCGCAACCCUUACCGAUAGUUACCAUCAGAUAAUGCUGGGGACUCUAUUGGGACUGCCACCGUAAGGUGUGAGGAAGGAGAGGAUGACGUCAAAUCAGCACGGCCCUUAUGUCCGGGGCGACACACGUGUUACAAUGGGAGAAACAAAGGGUCGCUACCUGGCAACAGGAUGCUAAUCUCGAAAAUCUCUCUCAGUUCGGAUUGGAGUCUGCAACUCGACUCCAUGAAGCUGGAUUCGCUAGUAAUCGCACAUCAGCCAUGGUGCGGUGAAUACGUUCCCGGGCCUUGUACACACCGCCCGUCAAGCCAUGGAAGCUGGAAGUACCUGAAGUAUGUAACUGAAAAGAGCGUCCU
rnacentral:rRNA from 1 species